rnacentral:rRNA from 1 species
GACGAACGCUGGCGGCGUGCCUAAUACAUGCAAGUAGAACGCACAGUUUAUACCGUAGCUUGCUACACCAUAGACUGUGAGUUGCGAACGGGUGAGUAACGCGUAGGUAACCUGCCUGGUAGCGGGGGAUAACUAUUGGAAACGAUAGCUAAUACCGCAUAAUAUUAAUUAUUGCAUGAUAAUUAAUUGAAAGGUGCAAUUGCACCACUACCAGAUGGACCUGCGUUGUAUUAGCUAGUAGGUGAGGUAACGGCUCACCUAGGCGACGAUACAUAGCCGACCUGAGAGGGUGAUCGGCCUCACUGGGACUGAGACACGGCCCAGACUCCUACGGGAGGCAGCAGUAGGGAAUCUUCGGCAAUGGACGAAAGUCUGACCGAGCAACGCCGCGUGAGUGAAGAAGGUUUUCGGAUCGUAAAGCUCUGUUGUAAGAGAAGAACGGGUGUGAGAGUGGAAAGUUCACACUGUGACGGUAUCUUACCAGAAAGGGGCGGCUAACUACGUG